rnacentral:rRNA from 1 species
GGCGGUGAUUUUCGCCAUGGGGAACACCCGGACCCAUCCCGAACCCGGCAGUUAAGCCCAUGUGCGCCGAUGAUACUGCACCCGCAAGGGUGUGGGAAAGUAGGUCAUUGCCGCUU